GACGAACGCUGGCGGCGCGCCUAACACAUGCAAGUCGAACGAAGCACUUAAAUUUGAUUCUUCGGAUGAAGAUUUUUGUGACUGAGUGGCGGACGGGUGAGUAACGCGUGGGUAACCUGCCUCAUACAGGGGGAUAACAGUUAGAAAUGACUGCUAAUACCGCAUAAGCGCACAGGACCGCAUGGUCUGGUGUGAAAAACUCCGGUGGUAUGAGAUGGACCCGCGUCUGAUUAGCUAGUUGGUGAGGUAACGGCCCACCAAGGCGACGAUCAGUAGCCGACCUGAGAGGGUGAUCGGCCACAUUGGGACUGAGACACGGCCCAA
rnacentral:rRNA from 1 species